GAAACUCUAAGGUGUACGCGUUGUUCAUACUACAGUUUUGCCUUACAGUCUUACGACAUCGGGGCUAGCACUAGUUGAGUGGAUAACAUGCCUUAUCACUUGGUAGUUAGAAGUUUAACAGUCGUGCCCCACCUGUUUUUAACACAGGUCAACACUGACGAACGAUUAACGGCACUACUGGAGUUUCG
rnacentral:other from 1 species